GAAAAGCUAUUUAGGUAGCGUCCUCGUGAAAUUCAAUCUUCGGGGUAGAGCACUGUUUCGCUAGGGGUCAUCCCGACUUAACCAAACCCGAUGCAAACUUUCUCCCCGAAAAGCUAUUUAGGUAGCGUCCUCGUGAAAUUCAAUCUUCGGGGUAGAGCACUGUUUCGCUAGGGGUCAUCCCGACUUAACCAAACCCGAUGCAAACU
rnacentral:rRNA from 1 species